AAAUUACUGCUGUUGGUCUCUGCAGUCUCAAAAAUGGAGUGCCGGAAAUCGAGUCUUGCAAGGAUCUUUCCUAUUUUCUAUGAGAUGGUUGCAGAUCUUACACCACAAACAAACGCACUAUCCUGAACUGGGGUUUUGCUUGGUACAAUUUCAUUUGGAGUCCUCGGCUAUGCUUUUUCCAGGAACUGGAAUAAGUGGAAAGUGUGGAGGCUACAGAGGCAAAUACAGCAAUCAAUCCAUGGCACUGACAGCAACGCCGAAGCUCAAAUUCAAGAAGAGGAGGAUGCAGGAUAUUCCAGACGGACAGUUGACGAGG